AUAUCCAUGUUGUGGACAUCUCCUUAAUAAGUCCUUGUAUCUCUCCCAACAUUCAUAUAGAUGUUCAUCGGGCUGUUGAAGAAAAGCUAGAAACUCAUAUCUCAAUUU